UUGGUGGUUUAAAAGAUGAUU
rnacentral:siRNA from 1 species